UGUCCUUCUCCUCCUCCUCCUCAUCAUCAUCAGCAGGAGCUGUUCACUGAUGAACCUGUUCUUCAACACCUCCACAUUUGCUGGAGGGGAACACCGCGCCCCAUCACGUCUCCACCCCAUAAUGACCAGACACUCCCUCACAUUUCUGCCUCUACGAUAGGUCACACUUGGGCCCAUGUAUUUCGGAAGAAUGCCAUCCAGCUCACUACACUGUAGUCUGAACUGAUAGUUGUGCAGAUCCUGUGCCCAUGAUCCCAUACACCUAACAACUUUCAGAACAAACAACAAAUGGA